UUAUGGAAACUGUGGCCUUCAAAUGAAGCUAUUGCACAGGAGUGCAGGAAUCUGAGCCCAGGAGCAGCUCUGGCCUGUGCUGAAUUCUUUUCUGUCAUCUGUAAAUAAUGUAUCCUAGAUAGACUUCAAAAGAUUUUAAUUAAAUGGUUAUUCUAAAGGUGUUUAUAUGUAUCAAAAAUCUACAAGACUGCAGAUAUGUUUUUUUCUAACCAAGGCUAGGCCUGAGCACUGAGUGAGCUCCCAUCUGGAAUCCAGUUUGACACAGAAUGGCAAGUGGACAUAAUUGAGAGCUCCUCUUUAAGAACACUCCUAUUCCAAGCUGAAGUAUCAGGGCAGAAUUUUCCAUUUAUCUCCUUUCAGGAUGGACAAGUCACAAGCUCUGGAUCUGUGUGCAGGCUACUCUGGGCUUCAGAGUGAGUGUCUGAGCCCUCUGAAGAGAGAAAUAUAUCAAAAGUGUAUCUGUGUCCCACCAGCACAAUUAAACUCUCCAGAAUGUGUUGAGGUGGUGAUUAUUGAGCUUCGCAGACGUGUUGAAAGAACUCAAAAUUGCCCCUUUACACCAGAGGUUUUCAUUUAAUUAAUACUAUCAGAUAGGCUGCAGUGUCCUAUUUCAGAGUAAUCAGAUUUCAAUUAUACUGCAGUCAAGGCCCCACAAGACCACAUAACUUCCCUGUUUCUGCAGAUUACACUCAGUUAUGAUGAUAUUUUGAAUAUUUUAAUUUGUCUUUUUUGUGUGGUUUUAUGUCAGAGAUGCAAGUUAGAUAUAUUUUUCCAACAAGCUGACUUUUUGCAAUAAUUAUUCAGAUUCAGGCAGAUAUGAAAUAUUCUAAAAGGCUUCUAUAACCUUCAUUUCAGCAAUUAACACUCACUUUUAAUGUUAGUCUUGUCUGCCAAGCAAAUCACCCAGCUUGGCCUUCUUUGUGCCAGGAUACAUUUUUUCAGCAAAACGAAGAUGUUGAUGCUUCCAUGUUCCACAACAAGAAGACAGAGAAACUGGGGAGAGUACCUGAUAACAAUGAA